rnacentral:rRNA from 1 species
GGGAUGAGCCCAGCGCCGAAUCCCCGGCYUUCGGUCGAGGGAAAUGUGGCGUUWGGGAGUGAGCGUGCCGAGCUCGUGCUGUCGACGGCAAGUCCCCCUGACUGGGGCCUAUCCAKAGCGGGUGCGAGGCCCAUAGCCGUCCGGCGCGGUUCGGARWGCGAUCUCCUUGGAGUCGGGUUGCUUGGGAGUGCAGCCYUAAUCGGGUGGUAAACUCCACCUAAGGCUAAAUACCGCCGUGAGACCGAUAGCAAACAAGUACCGUGAGGGAAAGUUGCAAAGAACUUUGAAGAGAGAGUUCAAGAGUGCGUGAAACUGCUCAGAGGUAAACGGGUGGGCCCUCGAAUUCCUGUGGCGAGAGGAUUCAGUCUGGCGGCCGUAGCGCGCUYGAYCGGAAGAYAAUMAUGGCUUCCCCGGGMUGGGGUGCCGUCCGKUCGCGYGGUCAGCGGAAYGCYAGAYGCAAUUGACUCUCGUCCGAAGGACGCUGCAGCCGGCGGGGCCGUUGCAAACGUGACGGCCUUAAGGGYGGGAGAUGGCAGUUGAYCGGCGGCGCGCACUCAGCGYGCGAGCCGGUUGUUAGCCKUUCCGCCAGUGGCCCGUCGCCUCGCCGUGGUGUCACKAWGCCCURACGGGCCUUCCUCCGUCCCCUUCCAAAGCGAAAGAGCCUCCGCUGGAGCAGGACGCCGUCUCGUCGCACGCCCCAGCGUGGAUGGACGAGUGAUYAGGCGCCGCARGCGURGAAGCCGAGUCGCCGGGGUACUGGAGGCUCGCAGCGAGUAGGUCGGUCACCCACCCGACCCGUCUUGAAACACGGACCAAGGAGUCUAACAUGUGCGCGAGUCAWUGGGUCUUGAACAGGCCCAGAGGCGCAAUGAAAGCRAAGGGUGGCCGUCUGGYGCCCGAGUUGGGAUCCCCGYYUUCGGGCGGGGCGCACCAACGACCCGUCCCGUCCGGCUCGCCGGUGGGGYGGAGUGUGAGCGUACACGUUGGGACCCGAAAGAUGGUGAACUAUGCCCGGACAGGAYGAAGCCAGRGGAAACYCUGAUGGAGGUCCGCAGC